GCAGUAGUGAUUCAGUGGUAGAAUUCUCACCUUCUAUGCAGGGGACCCUGGUUAGAUUCCUGGCCAAUGCA
rnacentral:tRNA from 1 species